rnacentral:rRNA from 1 species
GAUGAACGCUAGCUACAGGCUUAACACAUGCAAGUCGCGGGGCAGCAUGGGGGUUGCUUGCCAUCCCUGAUGGCGACCGGCGCACGGGUGAGUAACGCGUAUCCAACCUGCCCUUCACCACGGGAUAACCCGGCGAAAGUCGGACUAAUACCGUAUGUUGUCCAUUGACGGCCUCCGAUUUGGACGAAAGGCUUAGCGGUGAGGGAUGGGGAUGCGUCCGAUUAGCUUGACGGCGGGGUAACGGCCCACCGUGGCUACGAUCGGUAGGGGUUCUGAGAGGAAGGUCCCCCACACUGGAACUGAGACACGGUCCAGACUCCUACGGGAGGCAGCAGUGAGGAAUAGUGGUCAAUGGGCGUAAGCCUGAACCAGCCAAGUAGCGUGCAGGAUGACGGCCCUAUGGGUUGUAAACUGCUUUUAUGCGGGGAUAAAGGGACCCACGUGUGGGUUUUUGCAGGUACCGCAUGAAUAAGGACCGGCUAAUUCCGUG